rnacentral:lncRNA from 1 species
AUUUUAAUAAAUUUCCAUUUUGCCCCUAGUUCAAUUAUGAGUGGCUAAUUUUCUUUCAAGCUUGGGUUGAAGGUGAAGUCUCAACAUGUGUCAUGGGCUUAAUUUGGUAAAUUUACUUUCUCUUCCCCUCUAAUUUUUGUGGAUGUUUUGACUUCUCGUCGACAAAUAAUACUAAUCUUGUCUAGAUACCGCCUUGGUUACACCGGCUCUCUAGUAUAAGGUUAUUAUUAUUUGGCACGAUAAGCCCUUAGCACCAUAUUGAUUAGAGCGUGGUUCAUGAGGUGUGGAUUCCCCCCUCAUGAUUUAAUUGGCAUUAAUACGGAUUAUUUAGCCCAUGAUGCAUGUUGAUACGGAUCCAGAUACCCAAGUACGUCAAUUUAAUAGAUUUUCUCUUCAAUUUAUUCUCUCCAUUGCAAUUCCAAUUUUAGAAUUUAUUCUCGCCAUUUUAAUUUAAGUAUUAGCAUAUUCCAAAUCAUUUCCCCCAUAAAUCCAACUACCCAUUUACAAAAUUAAUUCUAUAUAUAAUUAAAAUCCACCUCCUCGUGGGAUCGACACUCGUCACCAUUAGUCUAUACUACAAUAGAUUCGUGCGCUUGCGAGUACAUUAAAAUUUGCACAACAACUAACACCCUUACUUUUAUGUAUUUAACCUUCUUUUGAUUUAAUUCCGUGUGUUUUAUUUUAAUUAAGUAUUUUAUGUAUUUUAGGGGCAUCAUGGUCAUUUCACAAUAAACGAGAGAUUAAACGGCAAAACAGACGUCACUUUUGAACUCAGGACGGUUGAAAACCUUAGGAGGAUCAUAAAAGGAAAAAUGACAUUGUUCACAUGUACGGUACUAUUCACAUGUACGGUACUAUCUACGUUAUUGUUCACGAUACUGUUCACAUAGACAGAUCAAUGACGUGGCAUUGACCGAUGAUGUGGCAUUGACUGAUGAGGUGUUAUGAUCCUCUUGGUCUAAAAUUCUUAUAAACUGUUAAUGGUGACGUGGCAGCAUAUUAGUGGACCAAAACUUGCGCAUACGGUACAUGUAUUACACAGGAUUAUUUUCAACCAAACCGCGUUACUGUUCAAAGCCGGGUCAAACCGUGUUACUGUUCAUCCACGUGGUCAAACCGCGUACUGUUGACUGAUGACGUGGCGCAAUCCUGAGCGUCCAAACUGUUUUUAAUCCGAUGGCCAUGAUUUACUCCAUGUAUCUAUAAAAAAGGGGGUCUCCCCCCCUAAUUUGAUAUCUCUGAAUCCAUUUUUGGGAUCCAUUUUCUGUAAUUCCUUCUCCAUCUUGUAUUUUCUACGUAUUUUAAUAAAUUCUUAUUUUGCCCCUAGUUCAAUUAUGAGUAGCUAAUUUUCUUGCAAGCUUGGGUUGAAGGUGAAGUCUCAACAUGUGUCAUGGGCUUUAUUUGGUAAAUUUACUUUCUCUUCCCCUCUAAUUUUUGUAGAUGUUUUGACUUCUCGUCGACAAAUAAUACUAAUCUUGUCUAGUACCGCCUUGGUUUCACCGGCCCCCUAGUACAAGGUUAUUGUUAUUUGGCACGAUAAGCCCUUAGCACCAUAUUUAUUAGAGUGUGGUUCAUGAGGUGUGGAUUCCCCCCUCAUAAUUUAAUUGGUAUUAAUAAGGAUUAUUUAGCCCAUGAUGCAUGUUGAUACGGAUCCAGAUAUCCAAGUACGUCAUCUCAAUAGAUUUCUCUUUAAUUUAUUCUCGCCAUUUCAAUUCCAAUUUUAGAAUUUAUUCUCGCCAUUUCAAUUCCAAUUUUAGGAUAAUUCAAAUCAUUUUCACCACAAAUCCAACCACUCAUUUACAAAAUUAAUUCUACAUACAAUUAAAAUCUACCUCCUCAUGGGAUCGAUACUCAUCACCAUUAGUCUAUUCUACAAUAGAUUCGUGUGCUUGCGAGUACAUUAAAAUUUGCACAACAAGUUUUUGGCGUCGUUGACGGGGAGGUAAGUAAUUUUAAUUCAUAGAAUUAAUUUUUGUGAAUAAUUCCAUUUAAUUGUUUUCUUGU